CCUACGGGGGGCAGCAGUGGGGAAUAUUGGACAAUGGGGGGAACCCUGAUCCAGCCAUGCCGCGUGUGUGAAGAAGGCCCUCGGGUUGUAAAGCACUUUCAGUGAGGAAGAACGCCUGGUGGUUAAUACCCAUCAGGAAAGACAUCACUCACAGAAGAAGCACCGGCUAACUCCGUGCCAGCAGCCGCGGUAAUACGGAGGGUGCGAGCGCUAAUCGGAAUUACUGGGCGUAAAGCGCGCGUAGGUGGCUUGAUAAGCCGGUUGUGAAAGCCCCGGGCUCAACCUGGGAACGGCAUCCGGAACUGUCAAGCUAGAGUGCAGGAGAGGAAGGUAGAAUUCCCGGUGUAGCGGUGAAAUGCGUAGAGAUCGGGAGGAAUACCAGUGGCGAAGGCGGCCUUCUGGACUGACACUGACACUGAGGUGCGAAAGCGUGGGUAGCAAACAGGAUUAGAUACCCCAGUAGUC
rnacentral:rRNA from 1 species